AAGGAUCAUUAAAAGUUAAGGGUGCUUGCGCCCAAAACUUCAACCCUAUGAAUUAAUAAUUUGUUUCUUUGCCGGUCUCGGCCGGCAGAAGACUUCUAAACUCAUAAAUAACUUGUCCUCUGAAAUUUAAACAUAAUAAUAUUAAAACUUUCAACAACGGAUCUCUUGGUUCUG
rnacentral:misc_RNA from 1 species